rnacentral:rRNA from 1 species
UAAUACCAGCACCUCGAGUGGUCAGGACGUUUAUUGGGCCUAAAGCAUCCGUAGCCGGCUUUGCAAGUCUUCGGUUAAAUCCACCUGCUCAACAGAUGGGCCGCUGGAGAUACUACAAAGCUAGGGAGUGGGAGAGGCAGACGGUAUUCAGUGGGUAGGGGUAAAAUCCUCUGAUCCAUUGAGGACCACCAGUGGCGAAGGCGGUCUGCCAGAACACGUUCGACGGUGAGGGAUGAAAGCUGGGGGAGCAAACCGGAUUAGAUACCCGGGUAGUCCCAGCUGUAAACGAUGCAAACUCGGUGAUGCAUUGGCUUAUGGCCAAUGCAGUGCCGCAGGGAAGCCGUUAAGUUUGCCGCCUGGGAAGUACGGACGCAAGUCUGAAACUCAAAGGAAUUGACGGACGUCGU